AAAACAGGCUGUGUAAAAAGUCCAGCUAUAGAUGAUCGCUGUCGACUUAAUUUCGAAAAAGAUACACUUUUGUCUUUCAUUGUGCCCUGCACCCAGUAGGUGCCCAGUGAUUUAUGUAAUUAUCCGAGAGUCAAUUGCAGGGGAUUGAGUAGAAUGUUGAUUGAGGAAAAAAUAGAGUUUGGGAAAGCCCUGAUGUGUGACACCUUCAUUUCCGUAUGAAUUCUGUGUUGAGCGCUUCUUGGAUGCUUGGGAAGGUGCUUGGACCUCAAGGGCAAGUGGAAGUGAG
rnacentral:lncRNA from 1 species